UAAGGAAUAUUGGUCAAUGGACGCAAGUCUGAACCAGCCAUGCUGCGUGGAGGAUUAAGGCCCUCUGGGUUGUAAACUCCUUUUAUCUGGGAAGAAAUGUACUUUUUCUUGAGUACUUGACGGUACCAGAGGAAUAAGCACCGGCUAACUCCGUGCCAGCAGCCGCGGUAAUACGGAGGGUGCAAGCGUUAUCCGGAUUCACUGGGUUUAAAGGGUGCGUAGGUGGGCAGGUAAGUCAGUGGUGAAAUCUCCGGGCUUAACCCGGAAACUGCCGUUGAUACUAUUUGUCUUGAAUAUUGUGGAGGUAAGCGGAAUAUGUCAUGUAGCGGUGAAAUGCUUAGAUAUGACAUAGAACACCAAUUGCGAAGGCAGCUUACUACACAAUCAUUGACGCUGAGGCACGAAAGCGUGGGGAUCAAACA
rnacentral:rRNA from 1 species